UACGUAGGUGGCAAGCGUUGUCCGGAUUUACUGGGCGUAAAGAGCGCGCAGGCGGUCGUUCAAGUCGAGUGUGAAAGCCCCCGGCUCAACUGGGGAGGGUCACUCGAUACUGAUCGACUCGAAGGCAGAAGAGGGAAGCGGAAUUCCCGGUGUAGUGGUGAAAUGCGCAGAUAUCAGGAGGAACACCGGUGGCGAAGGCGGGUCUCUGGGCCGAAACUGGACGCUGAGGAGCGAAAGCGUGGGGAGCAAACAGGA
rnacentral:rRNA from 1 species